rnacentral:tRNA from 1 species
UCCUCGAUAGCUCAGUCGGUAGAGCAACGGACUGUUAAUCCGUGGGUCCCUGGUUCGAGCCCAGGUCGAGGAGCCA